AGGACUCACCGGCUGUCGUUUGGGCUGCGGCCGUGUCCGUGACAGGGACGUUCUUGCCCAGCGCAGCUCCAUUUCCCGCGGUGAAAGCCUGCACCCUGGAGAAGAUAACAAGCCGCGUGACCUGGCAGUGUUACCUCCAAAGGGGAAAAACCUGGCCCACCACACACACCCCUUGCCCAGCUGCGGUGGGGCCGAAGCAAGGUAACAGGUUUAUGGCUCAACUCCUACAAGGAAAAUGAGUGAAAAGAAGGCUUUUCUCCCUUCACGGGCGGACCACGCAGAACAGCAGUGCCCCGUUACGUCGCAUCACGCCUGCCCCGAGCGUGGGAUCACCCUGCCUUCCCCCUCCCUGGCUGCGUGCUCAGCUGGACCUGCAAAGGGAGAUAGCUAGUGUCUCCUGUGUCCAGAAAGCAGCUUCCUACGAGGGGAGGUCGCACACGUCAAUGAGGUCUCCUCUGAUUCAUCCUCCUUGCUGCUGCCUUCCCCGAGCACACUGCUUUGCCAGGAGCCUCUGCCCACGAAGAAUGAAAAUCCUCAGAGUGUGGGCAUCCCUGCCACGCCUCCCUCCCAGGCUGUGCUAGGCCCACUGAGCUGCUUUCGGUGGGAGAACCACUUCCAUCCCAGCUCUCCCGGUGGCCCACACGUAACACUGCUUUUCAUUCCAAGUGAACACAUUUCCCAACCCUGUCCUCUAAGAUAACAUAUAUUCCAAAUUCAAAAGCCUAGCGUUACACAAUUUGGCCCCAGUCAUCCGUCCUAGAAACUUAGCACAUUUCCUCAUACUCUUUUGUGCCAUACCCUUAGCCCUUUGCACUGUUCCUAGCACAAACUGGGUGUUUGAAACGCGUUAGACUAAUAUUGACACAAUCCUAUGAGUUAAAGUUGUCUUUUAAAAAAAGAUAACCACGCCAGAAAAAUAAAGUUCUCUUUAAACAUACACACACAUGCAAUGUUUGAAUCUGAGCCAAAAGUGUUUUGAGAUUUAGAUAUUUUAGACAAAUAUCCAGUAGCACCAGAUAAUGUUUGUAUGUUAGCUUGGAGCAUUUGCUUAUACGUUUAUU